CUCGUUCCUUUGCGCAUGCGCGGUUCUCGUUGAUCGUUCCCUUUAGAAAUGGCCGAUGCUGCCGCGGUCUCCUUUUCUGUUUCACCGGUGGUGUGUUGUACCUGAGUCCGCGGUUCUUCGGUAGAACAAUGAGAAGAGGGCUUGACCUGGAUGAUCGGGGUCCUUAAUGAUGGAUGCCACCUUUUUGAGGCAUCGCUCUUUGAAGAUGUCCUGGAUACUAGGGAGACUAGUCCCCAUGAUGGAGCUGACUGAAUUUACAACUUUCUGCAGUUUAUUUCGAUCUUGCGCUGUGCCCCCACCCCACGAUACCAGAUGGUAAUGCAGCCAGUUAGAAUGCCUUGCACGGUACAUCUGCAGAAAUUUGCAAGUCUCUUUGGUGACAUAAUAAAUCCUAAUAGAACA